GCUUGCUCCUUUGACGUUAGCGGCGGACGGGUGAGUAACACGUGGGCAACCUACCCUAUAGUUUGGGAUAACUCCGGGAAACCGGGGCUAAUACCGAAUAAUCUGUUUUACCUCAUGGUGAAACACUGAAAGACGGUUUCGGCUGUCGCUAUAGGAUGGGCCCGCGGCGCAUUAGCUAGUUGGUGAGGUAACGGCUCACCAAGGCGACGAUGCGUAGCCGACCUGAGAGGGUGAUCGGCCACACUGGGACUGAGACACGGCCCAGACUCCUACGGGAGGCAGCAGUAGGGAAUCUUCCACAAUGGGCGAAAGCCUGAUGGAGCAACGCCGCGUGAGUGAAGAAGGUUUUCGGAUCGUAAAACUCUGUUGUAAGGGAAGAACAAGUACAGUAGUAACUGGCUGUACCUUGACGGUACCUUAUUAGAAAGCCACGGCUAACUACGUGCCAGCAGCCGCGGUAAUACGUAGGUGGCAAGCGUUGUCCGGAAUUAUUGGGCGUAAAGCGCGCGCAGGCGGUCCUUUAAGUCUGAUGUGAAAGCCCACGGCUCAACCGUGGAGGGUCAUUGGAAACUGGGGGACUUGAGUGCAGAAGAGGAAAGUGGAAUUCCAAGUGUAGCGGUGAAAUGCGUAGAGAUUUGGAGGAACACCAGUGGCGAAGGCGACUUUCUGGUCUGUAACUGACGCUGAGCGCGAAAGCG
rnacentral:rRNA from 1 species